rnacentral:rRNA from 1 species
UGGCGAACGGGUGAGUAACGCGUGGGUAACCUGCCUCAUACAGGGGGAUAACAGUUGGAAACGGCUGCUAAUACCGCAUAAGCGCACAGUACCGCAUGGUACGGUGUGAAAAACUCCGGUGGUAUGAGAUGGACCCGCGUCUGAUUAGGUAGUUGGUGGGGUAACGGCCUACCAAGCCGACGAUCAGUAGCCGACCUGAGAGGGUGACCGGCCACAUUGGGACUGAGACACGGCCCAA